CGCCAUUGAAAGUUUGCAGAUGCCGAUUUUUGACCUUUUUCUGUGUACUUCUGAGAGAUUUGAAGGAAAAAGUGCAAAAGUGCCCUGCCAGCUGACAUGUUUAGCUAAGCGUAAAACAAUUUAGACACUGUUUUUUUUUUUUUUUUAUAUCCAGGUAUCUCAGCUUACACCAGAUUAAAUUCUGAACCUCCAAGACCUAUACCCCUAGAACCUUGGAGGGGGUAAAUCGCGGGAUAUGUCUCAAUUGGAUCACAGGUUCCCCCAUUGACUGUACACUUCUGCGCACAAGAGACCCUCCUUCACAGUGAUUGCUCCAUACCAAAUUUUUGGCCGCAGGUUCCCACCAGGAAUCGAACUCUCCACCCUGCCG
rnacentral:lncRNA from 1 species